rnacentral:lncRNA from 1 species
CACACUCCUCAAUCAAUAAUGCCGCCUUAUCUGCCUUCUAAAGAAAGGAUAAAUGGAAAAAGGAAGGAAGGAAAGCCACCGGUCCUGCAAAGAUUCCCAUAUCCUUGUGCUGUUACCUUUCUGGAUUCUGCCCGUUGCCUGAAAAGCUGACAGGAUCUGAAGGGGAUCAAACUCGGGUCCUCUGGCUUGCAAGGCAAACGUUGUAAGAGCCAAAAAGGUAUGUUUUAAGUUUUAAUUACUGUGCCUAAGAGAUCCAUGGAACAAAAAACUGUUGCUAACCUUUAAGUGUCUUGCCCAAGGACAGAUCUUUCCCCGAAAUGCUGGAAGCUAUUGCUUAUGGGAGAAAACAAGCCACAUGCUUCACUCCCUUAAACAAGUUUAUUUGGCCUAAUCGUACUGGAUGUAGGUGUGAGGUACGUAGGCAGGAAAUACGUCAGGAUGUAUGCUUGCCCCUGAUUGGAUGUAAGUGGGAGGUACACAGACAAGAAGUGCUUCAGGAUAUAUGCUUGCCGCUGAUUGGACCUGCUGAGAAAAAUGUAACCUUAUGGGUUUGCCUUUAUAAGCCUCUGCAAAAUAUAUGACUUGUAGACAUUUUCUGGGAACCCAGGAAUGGACCUGGCUAGAGUCCAUCAUCUGGGCCAGUAUUCAAUUAAUUGCUUCAAAUAUGGCUCAAGAUGGUGGUAGUGGUCUUAUUCUUGCCCAGUGGGAUUAGCAACGUCUAUUGAGUUAUCACUUUUUAUACUUGGUCCUGUGUCCUAGCGGGAACCAUCAAGUAAACAGCCAUCGGAUAACUGAGAUUAUCUUUAAGCCUAGUUAAGGGACACACCCUCAAAGGGAGUCUAUGGGUCGCUAAGACUGUUUGAAAUUUAGAGGGUUGUCCAUGUCAAAGCAGGGCCUGUUGUAGGUACACUGGUUGGCAGGGAGUCCUGAGGGUUCCCAAAUAAAGCAAAGAUGUGAAUAAAGAGAAGGCAUGAGUACCCCUGAGCUGGAGUUACAGAAUCCCCCCCCCC